rnacentral:rRNA from 1 species
CUUGUAAGUAAUAAGAGGUCCAGCCUGCCCAGUGACAAAGUUCAACGGCCGCGGUACCCUAACCGAGCGAAGGUAGCAUAAUCACUUGUUCUUUAAAUAAGGACUAGUAUCAAUGGCAUCACGAGGGUCGUACUGUCUCCUUUUUCCAAUCAGUGAAACUGAUCUUCCCGUGAAAAAGCGGGAAUACACAUAUAAGACGAGAAGACCCCAUGGAGCUUUAAACCUACAGCAACUUAACUACAAAAUUCUUCAAAACCCCUAAAGAAAUGCCUGUUGGUUUUAGGUUGGGGUGACCACGGAGUAAAGACUAACCUCCGCAACGCAUAAACCUAAAUUUUUAUUUAAGAGCCACAACUCUAAAAAAUAGUACACUAACGUACACUGAUGCCGAUAAUCGAUUAAUGAACC